CAGUAGCCGCGGGAAUACGGAGGGGGCUAGCGUUGUUCGGAAUUACUGAGCGUAAAGCGCACGUAGGCGGCUUGGUAAGUUAGAGGUGAAAGCCUGGAGCUCAACUCUAGAAUUGCCUUUAAGACUGCCGAGCUAGCAGGUGAGAGAGGUAAGUGGAAUUCCGAGUGUAGAGGUGAAAUGCGUAGAUAUGCGGAGGAACACCGAUGGCGAAGGCAGCCCCCUGGGCCGACACUGACGCUCAUGCACGAAAGCGUGGGGAGCAAACAGGAUUAGAUACCCCCGUAGUCCCUGUCUCUUAUCC
rnacentral:rRNA from 1 species